CCAUUUUUGUCACAAAAAAUAAAAAGGAAAAAUCAUCGUUUUCUACCCCCAAACUAUUGGCAUCGCUCAGUGUCUCCAUCGUCUUCUGAUUUUCCUCCGAAUCGGAGAAGAAAGGCAACCACAUCAUGGUCCUCCGAAUUCAUGGUUUUCUGAUUCUUCCCGGCGCUCCUUACGCGUACUGCAGCCUGAGCGCGCGGCGCUCUCGAUUGAUUCCAUAGUCUGAUCUUCCCCGAAUCGCAAUCCGAUGGUGGCGAUGGCGUCGACGCAGAAACAAUCGGCGAAUCUCUUCGAUGCGUAUUUCCGAAACAGAUUGAUUUUGAAUUUGUAGUCUAAUUGUAGUUGAAGUGGUAAAUGUGAGUUCGGGAUGUCUUAAUUCUCUUAUCUAAGCUGAGAUUUUUAUUUUGUGUUAGUAUAACUGCGGAAUUGAUGUUCAGAUGGUAGAAAAUAAGUAGUUGAAGAAUUUAUACUACAGUUAGUGAGGUUGAGAGAGUUAUGUUAUCAGGUCAUUAAUUUAUGUUUGAUGGAGCGGUUUAGAGGGGGAAGCCCUCUUCCAGCUGUGCUACCAAGCAAUGUUAUGUAUGAUUUAUCCAAUAUUUUUCAACCUGCAAAUAAUUACUCCAAUGCUGGCAAUGUAGUCUGGAGACCUGCUUCUCGUAUUCAUCCAUAAAACAAAUCACUUUUAUAUUUUGAAACAUGUCUUUCUUUGAUGGAGAAUAGUUUCUUAUUUUUCACUUUAAAAGGCUUUCAACAACAGCAACUGAUGCCUGGUCUUGGUGCUUGGCACAUGGCACCCCCAGCUGGAGGAAGACCACCGAAGACAGUUGCUCCUUCUCAUGCUGAGGAAAAGCAGCAGGCCAAUUAGCAGAAACCCGGAGUACCAGAAUUGGAGAAACAUCUUGUAGAUCAACUGAAUACAGAGGAGGUUAACUCACUGAACUCAAAGUUCAAAGAAGCAACUGAAGCUGAUAAAAAGCCUUUAGCUAUAACAAUACAUAGCACUGGGAGCCCUGGUAUAGAUUGAAGCCGCUUGCAGUAGUUUAAGUUGAGUAUAGACAACCGAGAAGCUUGUUUGAUGCUUGCUGGUAUUUCCAAUAUACCGCUGUAGCUGAGGUUUAGUUCUUCUAAAGAGAGAAAACCAACAGAGCUGGAAGGCAAUUUUUCAAGUCUGCAACAGCCAUUAAAGUUGAGACGUUUAAGAUUGGUUAAACUGUAGAUACUUGUUGGGACAUCCUUAAGUUGAUGGCAGCGACUAAGGUUUAAAUCUUGAAGCCUAUUUAGAUUUCCAAUAGACGAAGGAAGCAUUUCGACAGCUGUCUCUU